GCGCGGCGCGGCGCGGCCUUGGGGGCCCCGGGGCCCCUCGCAAGGCGGCUGCGUCCUGCAGAGCGGGGCCCGGCCGGGGUGGGGUGCGAUAAGCCCUUGUCGCCCGCUGUCCCCGCUCGGCGGUGUGUGCCACGAGCCCCCGGGAGCCCAGCGCCGCUCCACGUGCGUCUCAGCCCCGGCCGGCGAGAGGUUCAUAGCAGGCCCAGGCGCAUGGGUGGAGGCGGUAGCUGUCUGAAGUAGCCAAGAUCUUCAGUUGAUAUCGCUAAUUACCAUCUUAUGGUGCCAAAGUUUGCAAGCCUCUGUGCAGCACAGAAUGAAAUGACAUAUUCCCUGCCCCGAGGAGUUUACAAUCUGAGUGGAUCUGACAACACGAGGGUGUGACAGGACACCACGGGGUUGCAGCAGCAGGAUCAUGCUGUUGAGGACUUAACUUACUCCAGGACUACAGAUGAGAGAAAGCAACAGCUCCAGAGGCCUCUUGGGAUGGCAGGAUGGAUCUGACAACGCAAGGUGUGACAGAAUGCCACAAGGUUGCAGCAACAGAAUCCCGGGAUCCAGUGCCCAGACAAAGGAACAGCAUUAAGUGACAUUACUGGGAGAGUGUUGGUGACAUCACAGGGAACAGAGUUAUGACAGUGAUGGAUGCUAUACUGUGUCAACAGUCUCAUGGGAUUUGACAUGCAUCUGCUAUUGAGGAAUGGAAUCUGUCUGCUGGGUAUCUUUAUGACCUUUUUCCCCACAUUACUCUGAAAGAUGCAGACACACUUGCAAGAAGUAUUUCAGCACAUGAAACUGGAAAUUUUGAAUGUUGCCUUCUGCAUGUAUAUUCAAGAUGAUUGAAAACAGUUUGACAAGUAGACAUGACUAAUUUCUCCAUUGCUAGACGCAGAAGUCAAAGUCUUCCUGGAGGUGCUGAGUGCAAGACUCAUUUCCAGAAACCUGAGAGUGGAAACACCCUUGGAGGGUAAAGAAGCCAUUCAGAAAUCACAUUUCCCAGCUGGGAGUGCACGCUCUGUAAAAUCCUUCAGUAUAAUAAAACCAGGCAUAUGAACCACAUUUACUCUGAAAAUGUCCCAUCUCCAUGACACCAGCACCAGUGGAGGAGAUGGGAUCCUGGGUUGCCCAGCCCAGUGCUCUCCCACCGUCCUUUCUCUCCGUCCUGGCAAAUCAGCAGCGAGGUGCUGGGAUAACUGACCAACUCCCUAUUUGCGUCCUGCUUUUCAUUUUCAAACUGCUUGCCGGCGGGAGGCCGGGCUGCCUGCAAUCUGUGCUGACGGGAGCCCGUGCAGAGCCCAUCGCCAGGCCUGGCAGUGGCGAGAAGCAGAUGGUGCCGUGUUCCUGCAAACUCCCCUUUCUGAGGUGUCCUGUUCUGCCCAGCACAGGCGGACAUCAAAAGCCGAUAUUGCUCUUUGGCAGUAGCAUUCGCCAAACAGCCUGGGAUGUGACAAUUUUGUGUGUGUCUACUGCAGCUUUUCCCCUCCCUGGUUGCCCAAGAGGUUUUGUCCAUGGAAAUUUUAGUUUAAAAAAUAAGGAAGUGCAGGUCCUACUUGUUGGACACAAACACGAUGCCAUAUGGCUCGGGAGAAGCAUGCUCUGACACAGGAGCGCGGCGUGUCCUACCUCCAGCCCCAAGAGUGGGGGUGCAUGUCAGCCAGCACCCUGCCUGACAGCAGUCUUCAGGGACGUGUGCUAGCUGCACACAAGCCAAGCCUCAUUAUAAGACAACAGAGAUAGACCCAUAGAAAAACAUGUCUAUGGCCAGGCUGGAUUCCUUGAGGAUCCCCAGCAAACAGCAGGCAUGUGGCCACCCCCACAAGGACCCGCGUGUCUGUCGGCUCUCAUUACACAGACUUCAGCACAGGAGAAAGGAGAAAAAUGCGAAAGCACUGACUGUGCAUCAGGGAACAGAGAAGGGCAGUUUGCCCUUUCUGCUGCCAGCACAAGGGACUCUGUCCCUCAGGAGCAUUGAUCUUGAAGUCAACAGGAUUAGGCACCUGCUGGAAGUUAAGCAGAUGCUUACCUGUGCAGCUGGAUCAGCACCAGCUCCAUGUGUGGGUGAGCACUGACUAAUGACUCUUGUGAUGGUGCUAAAGAAAAGCAGACAGACAUACGGAUGGGGUCAGCUGAACUUCCAGGCAUCCACCAAAACAUUUGCAAUAGCCCAAUACCUCAAAGCAAUUAUAUGUAUAUUUUUGAAUGAAUAUAUAUUUGGGGAGGGCAAAAAAAAAAGACAUAGUUCAGCUCCAAAGACCUACACACAGAGGGGCAGCAUAGCUAAUGCUUGUGCUCACUCUCCCCAGUAGCUGCAAACACCCUUGGCUCUUCAUAGCCUUUGCCUUACAUGCAUGCACGCAUGCACACAUGCAUAUCCACACACACACACAGAUAUAAAUAUAUAUAUAUAUACACAUAUGUAUAUAUAUCCUUCACAUUACUGGUGUGAAGUUAGUCCUGAAUAUUUGUGUGGGAGUAGGUCAAAGGAGUGAGAGAACAAGCUUCCUGCUUUGACGGCCUCUCCAGGGGAAUCUGCUCCUGAGCGCAAUGGGAAGAAGGGAUGCAGCAGUCCUGUGACCUCCUUCCCCGGCUUGUUGUGGAUGACCAUGCGAGUCACCCCAGCACGGCGCUCCGUGACUCCGAUGGGCAUCUACACAGCAGGUGGCCUGUAUGUCUUUCUGUUACAUUUUUAACAUUAUGUGCUCCAGUUGCAGCUUAAAAAUGACCAAGCGAUCUUUAUUCUAAAUGCAAGAAGUGCAUUUCAUUUGCAUAGCUCUGAUGGGAUUAAAGGAGGCAUUAGAGUAAUUAAGGUCACUGGGGUUUGCCAUUUGCUUAAUCCCUAAAUCCAGCUCUGCUCCAACAUUAUUCAGUAAUAUCAUGGGGCAAAAGGUCACUGCAACAAUAUAUGCCUGUCUAACCUUCCAUCAUAAAGAGAUAAAUGAUUUUUGGACAGUUAAAAGGAAUAAAGGCAGAAUGCUUUGUGUGCACAGCAUAGGCACAAAUCAGUGACACCACCACACCUGCAGACAAGGUAGGUAGGUAGGUAGAAGCAGCCCCUCGCGCAGCAGGUGGCACACAGAAGACAGUAGGAGCCAUAAAGAGCUGUGUCUCCAUGGGUUUGCAGCACAGGCAGGUUUUCAUAUGUUACAGGUGAGAGCAUGUCCCGGAUGUGACAAUGGCAGACUUAGACCGACAUGCAUGGUUUGUUAUGAAUGGUUUUUGCACUUUGCACUGGUAAUGUGAAAAUGAUAGAAUAUAACAAAAAUUGUCAUGAUGCCGCACUGUUUUCCUUUCAUUGUUCUGACACCUGGCUUCAAAAAAAAAAAAAAAAAACAAAGAAGCAACUUUUCCUGCUUUCAAAAUUCUAGGUUUGGUAAAAUCAAAAAUAUUUAACUAAGGAGAAUAUAAGAAAUGAAUACAUGUGAAAUUUUAAGUUUCACAUUUGUAAUACUGCUAUUUGAAGAAAACUAGAAAAAAGGAAAAAAAAUGCCUAUGACCAUGUGUGUCAGUGAAAAUCUGUUUUAUAAAGGACAUAUACAUUAUUUUCCACAUAGACUUCACAAGAAACUUUGCCUCAGAUACCAUCUGAAUCCAAAGCAAACCAUGUAUCAUACUAUCUCUUAUGUUUAUCUGUUUUUUUCUGGUUCUAGAUGGGAAGAUUUAUAAUACUUUUUAUGCACAAGAGUUUAUAUGGUUUCGGGAAAAAAACCCCAAAUGAUCCACAUCCUACGUAGGCAUUGCAGUAAAGUUCUUUCAGAGUUUAAAAUACUAAAUGAUCCCUCUGUUAAAAUGAUAGUAAUAAAUGCACAGGCAGCAUUUGGAAGAUAUUGUAUUGUUGAAUAUUAUGUGUUCUUCUCAGUAAGCUUGCAGCAGUUAUUCCUUUUAAUUAAAUCUACAUGCAUUUCA